rnacentral:rRNA from 1 species
UGGGGAAUUUUGGACAAUNUNGCGCAAGCCUGAUCCAGCCAUGCCGCGUGUCUGAAGAAGGCCUUCGGGUUGUAAAGGACUUUUGUCAGGGAAGAAAAGGACAGGGUUAAUACCUCUGUUUGAUGACGGUACCUGAAGAAUAAGCACCGGCUAACUACGUGCCAGCAGCCGCGGUAAUACGUAGGGUGCGAGCGUUAAUCGGAAUUACUGGGCGUAAAGCGAGCGCAGACGGUUACUUAAGCAGGAUGUGAAAUCCCCGGGCUCAACCUGGGAACUGCGUUCUGAACUGGGUGACUAGAGUGUGUCAGAGGGAGGUAGAAUUCCACGUGUAGCAGUGAAAUGCGUAGAGAUGUGGAGGAAUACCGAUGGCGAAGGCAGCCUCCUGGGAUAACACUGACGUUCAUGCUCGAAAGCGUGGGUAGCAAACAGGAUUAGAUACCCUGGUAGUCCACGCCCUAAACGAUGUCAAUUAGCUGUUGGGCAACUUGAUUGCUUAGUAGCGUAGCUAACGCGUGAAAUUGACCGCCUGGGGAGUACGGUCGCAAGAUUAA